GUGCUGUGGUAUUUGUUUCCUCUUAGUACAUCUGCACACCUGUGCUCCUAUAAGCUUGAAUGGAAAUCGUUGUUGUGUGGUUUUGAAUGCCACAUGGCAAGGACCUCGCCCAGAACAACGUCCGGAUCUGGGCAUGCUUACCUGGAGAUUGACAUCAGUAGAUGAAUGCCAGGGGUGGAUCAUGCAAGAGGAUUUUACCCUCGCUGUUUGACUAGGACCAAUAUAGCCUGUGAUGUGGAUAAGAUUCUCUGGCCUGACCCAGAACAAAGACGGGAUGUUGAUGCGGAAAAAUGUUUUACAGUUGUGCUGUGUAGCACAUGA